rnacentral:rRNA from 1 species
UGCAAGUCGAGCGGAGAAUGCGGAAUUGUUUACAUGGAAACGUUCUUAGCGGCGGACGGGUGAGUCACACGUGGGUAACCUGCCUNACAGUGGGGGAUAGCCUUCCGAAAGGAAUAUUAAUACCGCGUAANCCUACNNUGCCNCNUGGNACAUCNUGAAAAGGANCANUCCGCUUUGAGAUGGACCCGCGGCGCAUUAGCUAGUUGGUGAGGUAACGGCUCACCAAGGCGACGAUGCGUAUCCGACCUGAGAGGGUGAUCGGCCACAUUGGAACUGAGACACGGUCCAGACUCCUACGGGAGGCAGCAGUGGGGAAUAUUGCACACUGGGCGAAAGCCUGAUGCAGCAACGCCGCGUGAGUGAUGAAUAGCCUUCCGGGUCCUAAANCUCUUUGAUCAUGGAUGAGNAGUGACCNGUCNCUCACAAANAGCCCCGGUAACUACGUNCACAGCCC